rnacentral:rRNA from 1 species
GACGAACGCUGGCGGCGUGCUUAACACAUGCAAGUCGAACGGAGCGAAUGAAAGCUUGCUUUUAUGAGCUUAGUGGCAAACGGGUGAGUAACACGUAGACAACCUGCCGAUCAGAUGGGGACAACAUUCCGAAAGGAAUGCUAAUACCGAAUGGCGUGUAGGGGAGGCAUCUCCCGUACAUGAAAGAUGGCCUCUAUAUAUAAGCUAUCACUGAUCGAUGGGUCUGCGUCUGAUUAGCUGGUAGGUAAGGUAACGGCUUACCUAGGCGACGAUCAGUAGCCGGUCUGAGAGGAUGAACGGCCACAUUGGGACUGAGACACGGCCCAGACUCCUACGGGAGGCAGCAGUGGGGAAUCUUCCGCAAUGGGCGCAAGCCUGACGGAGCAACGCCGCGUGAGUGAAGAAGGUCUUCGGAUCGUAAAGCUCUGUUGAAGGGGACGAACGUACGCAGUGCGAAUAGUGCUGUGUAAUGAC